GCUCCCGUGGCCUAAUGGAUAAGGCGUUGGUCUCCUAAAUAAGCGCAUGUAGUGCGGAGUAAACCAACGAUGGGGGUUCAAGUCCCCCCGGGAGCC
rfam:Ascaris lumbricoides genome assembly, scaffold: ALTE_scaffold0006367